rnacentral:rRNA from 1 species
CCUACGGGAGGCAGCAGUGGGGAAUUUUCCGCAAUGGGCGAAAGCCUGACGGAGCAACGCCGCGUGAGGGAGGAAGGUCUUUGGAUUGUAAACCUCUUUUCUCAAGGAAGAAGUUCUGACGGUACUUGAGGAAUCAGCCUCGGCUAACUCCGUGCCAGCAGCCGCGGUAAU